rnacentral:other from 1 species
CAUCUCCUGGGAUGUUUGCCAGUUCAGUUAUGUCCCUGGCCGAUGCUAAUUAACCUGGAAAUUGAUUCCAUUACUAUUGUGCAAGCUUGGCUUGAACCAAGAAGCCUACGGUAAUGAUGAUGUUUCCGCCCUGAACUUUCGGUUCACGGGCGCACACCGAACAGCGGCAUUUUGGGAGACCC